rnacentral:rRNA from 1 species
AUACGUAGGGGGCGAGCGUUGUCCGGAAUGAUUGGGCGUAAAGGGCGCGUAGGCGGCGCGGUAAGUCUGGAGUGAAAGUCCUGCUUUCAAGGUGGGAAUUGCUUUGGAUACUGCCGCGCUUGAGUGCAGGAGAGGUUAUCGGAAUUCCCGGUGUAGCGGUGCAAUGCGUAGAGAUCGGGAGGAACACCAGUGGCGAAGGCGGGUAACUGGACUGCAACUGACGCUGAGGCGCGAAAGUGUGGGGAGCGAACAGGAUUAGAUACCCUGGUAGUCCACACUGUAAACGAUGAAUGCUAGGUGUAAGAGGUAUCGACCCCUUUUGUGCCGGAGUCAACACAAUAAGCAUUCCGCCUGGGGAGUACGGCCGCAAGGUUGAAACUUAAAGGAAUUGACGGGG